AGGUAAACAAUAUACAAAAGAGUUAAAGAAAAGAGUUUCCAUAUUUGAAAAUUUUCAAAAUAAGGAUUACGUUUCGAAAAUUUAGAAUGUUUCGUAAGUUUCCAAAUCAAGAAUGUUUCGAAAGUUUCCAAAUUUGGAAAAUUUCGAAAGUUUUGAAUUAUUUGAAAGUUUCAAAAAUUUUGGAAUUCUAUUUCGAAAGUUUCGAAUUGUUCUAAAGUUUCGAAAAUUUUAGAAAUUGACAUGUUGAAACUUUCGAACAUUCUAGAAAGAGCGGUGAAAAAAUUAAAAAUUAAAACUGUUGAAGGGCAAAAUUGUAUUUUUCACGUUGGUUGGGGGUGACAGGUUUAGAUGUGGAGGUGCAGAGUAGAAUCCUCUGCUGCGAGUUGCUCAUUACACUCCUAUUUCUGCCUCAGACUUUACUAUCCUGCGUUGGGUCUUACAGUUUUACAUUUUUUCCUAUACAUCUACUAUCUGCAACCCCUCCUUCUGCAAUUAAAAGAAUAAAAAUUGAAAAUCAGAUUAAUGGCAACCAAAUUACAGCAAACCUUUUUUCUCUCAAAUUCACUGCCAACAAUUCUUUGUCAUUUGAAUCGAUCUCAACCACUGUCCCACACAAAAUCGGCCACCGAAUCUAUUUUUGGUUUCAAUUUUAUCGACCAUGACUCAUUUUCAUUAGAACUUAUAACUUAAAAGAUAACAUUUUUGAAACUUUUAACUCAAUUUUAUCAAUCAUGGCUUCAAUUUAAUUUGCCACAUUAUACUUUUUUAAAGGAAUUUAUAAAAAAAUUACGUAAGUGGAUUAUAACUUAAAAGUUAAUGUGAGUUAAUGUGGCUAAUGAGAUAAAUUUAAUUACUAAAUCAAAAAUAUAUAAAUAAAACCUAUAGAGACAUAAAAGGAAAUUGAGAAAAAUUUAAAAGAGUAANNNNNNNNNNNNNNNNNNNNNNNNNNNNNNNNNNNNNNNNNNNNNNNNNNNNNNNNNNNNNNNNNNNNNNNNNNNNNNNNNNNNNNNNNNNNNNNNNNNNNNNNNNNNNNNNNNNNNNNNNNNNNNNNNNNNNNNNNNNNNNNNNNNNNNNNNNNNNNNNNNNNNNNNNNNNNNNNNNNNNNNNNNNNNNNNNNNNCAAUUAAAUAAUAUAUUAUUUAAUAAAUCUACUUUUGAUUUUCAUACCUAUUUAUCUUGCCGAAUAUAUUCAUAUGUUUCACAACAAUUAAAUUCUUAGAAAUUGUAGCAAUGAUGAAAAUCAAAGCUUUUAAUCUGUGUUUCCUUUGUGCACUGUUUCUUUUAUCUGUUGUGGCAACAGAGACAUUAAAAGUAGGUAAACAAUAUACAAAAGAGUCAAAGAAAAAUGUUUUGGUAGAUAAGUUUGAUGGUGGGCGAAAACCCAUAGAUAUAGAAUCUUUUGAUCAAAAUAAGUCCGUUGGUGCGGGAAAUAAAACAAGGGAAGAAAGGAUGAUGGAAAAGGAAGCAAAGCAGAAGGAAAUAGUUUUGGUAAAGGAAGCAAAGCAGAAGGAAAGAGCUUUGGCAAAGGAAGCAAAGUUGAAUGAAAGACCUUUAGCAAAGGAAAAUAAAAUGAAAGAAAAAAAUAAAGAAAAAGGGUAUGGGUCAGGGAGAAGGUCAAUGCAUUAUUAGUUGUAAAAAUAAAAUAUAAAUAAAGCAUACACUAUAAUCAUUGCAUGAUUGGGUGAAUGAAUGAUAAUAAUAAUUGAUGUUGUAUACCUUUAAAAAAAAUUGAUGUUUUACAUACCAUGUAUAACUGUUUAUGUAAACAUAUGUACGUGAUCAUUUUUAUUUUUUAUUUUUAUAACAGAUUCGCUUCUUUAAUCUCAUUUAGUUCCUUUAUUUAUAAUUUAUGGACAACUAAUUAAUUAUUUUUUAUCAACAAAUGUCAAAUUGAAAAUCCAUCUUGAAUCAUUAUUAAUAAUUUUAAUUUUUUACAAUAGUUUUUAUUAAAAAUAAUGCAAUUCAUGAUCAUCUUCUUUCAAUAAAUAUUAGAUUUACUAUACCCAUUAGAUAAACAACUUUUUAAAACUGAAUCUAAGAAAUGAGAAUUCAAAUUUAUGAUCAUAAAUGAACAAAGACUAGAAAUAUGUCAAAACAAAUAUUUCAUCGCACGAAAUAAAAUUAUUCUCUCAAGAACUAAAUCAUUUAAAUUUAUGCAGGUCAAAGAUUAAACCAUUUAAAUUUGUCAAAAAAAAAUAUUUGAAUUUGCAAAAAAAAUAACAUUAUUCAACCAAAUAAACGAAACAAAGGAUUCAAGGACCGAAGGGUCCCCUAAACUUUUAUAAAAUAUUUCGAUAUUAGUACGUUAUUAUAAUUUUUUAUUUCUGUACUAAAUCUCAAUGUUAGUAUGUUAUUAUGUGGAAUGUGUUCAAUUUAAGAUUCUUGGUGCUAUGGGAGCAUUAGGCGUUGAUUGUCAAGGUUAAAUUGUGGGUCAAUGUGAGAAAAAUAAAGUCUAGUCUUAUGAACUAUGAAGGUUAAUUUUUAAAAGCGUCUUUUUUUGGGGAUCAAUGUGAACAAUUCUUGGUUGAAGAGACGAUAAAAGUAUUUUAACACUCCAAAUUUUAUAAUAAAUUAUUUUAUUGAUGAAAUAUAAUUUCAAAUAUUUAAACUGAUGUUAAAAUUAUUUUAUAAUAUAUGUUAAUUAAAUUUAGGAUUAAUUUUCUUUAUAUGAUGUUUUAAUCUUGUACAUGUUAGACUAAAUGAGUGAUAUAAAUAUCAAAUAUUAUAUUUUUAUAUUUUAUAUAUUUUUCUAAAAAUAAUAGUAUUUUAGUGUACACAUUUUAAAGUAUAAGAUUUUAGGCGAUUUUACGUGUUUAUGUGUGUUUGUAGUUAAUUUGAUACUUUCUUGUAUGCUGACUAAUGUUAAGUGUGCUCACAAUUAUAUUUAAUUAUUUUUAAAUUUAUCUUAUUUUAUUUAAUUUUUUUACAAAUAAUUAUCUUGAGAUAUUAGUAAUAUUGAUAUUGAUUUUCUUUAUUUCUAUAUAGUUGUUACAGUAUGGUGAUUUUUUACAUAUUCAUUUAGAUUUAGUAAUUAAUAUAAAUCGCUGAUGUUAUAUUUAUUUAUUUUAUCAUUUUGACUAAUCUAUAAAGAUGUUGUAUUUUUAUAUUAUUAUUUUGAAAAAAAUAUUAUAGUAAUAAUUGUAGUUACUAUUUUGAGUAUGAGAGUUUUGAAUAAAAUUAGAUUUAUCUAUAUUAAGGAAAAAUAAUAUUAUGUUAGAAUGAGUGUUUUGGAGAAAAAGUUUAUAGCGUGGAUAAGUAAAAUAAAUUAUUUAUCAAAGAUUUUUAGAAAUACUAGAAAAUAAAUUUUAGACCAGACGACUGUUUACACCCUUAUUUUUUUACUUAUGCAUAUUAAUUUGUGCUAUUAUUGGUUGGUUUUUUAUUUCCUACAUGUGCUGCCUCAGACUUUACUAUCGUGUGUUGGGACUUACAGUUUUAUUUUUAUAUCUCUACGUUUUCUCUCUACACCACUCAUAUUGCAAUUAAAAAAAUAUAAAUUGAAAGUCAGACUAAAGGCCGCGAAACAAUUUUUCUCUCAAUUUUGUUUCCACCAAUUCUUUGUUGCUUGAAUCGAUCACAAUCUCUGUCCACACAAAAUUGGCCACUAAAUCCAUUUUUGGUGCCAAUUUUAUCAAUCGUGGCUCCAUUUCAUAAAUGCGUUUCUUUCGUUGGGCGAGCUAUUUUUGGCCAAAUUUGAUCACUACGUUUGUCGUCUCAAAAAAAUAGUAUUUUUUUUGGAUUUCUCUUGUCGAAACUUGCAAGAAGAACUAAUCAUUUACAUUUUUUGUUGAAGUUGAAGUCGGACACUUAUGGCACUCGGAUGUGGAGAUUAUUUUAUCAUAAUAUAAGUAGGGUCUAACAAGCCUAGUGAUUUCGAGGAAGUACAACUGAAUGCGCCUGAUCAUGGAAGUCUGCCUGUAUGCCUUAAGGCAAAAUUGUUAGAUAUUGGAGAUAUUCGGAUGGAGAAUUCCUAGGUGACUAGGAGGUAGCACUCCAAAUGUCGACAGCUACCAUGAAACACACUUUACCUCUACUUUUGCAUAUAUGUGACUCAGAUGGAGUUAAGGGUGAAGUAGUAAUGUCGAUUUACAAGGAAUGGGGUUUGAAUUGUAAAUGUUUCUAUUUAAAAAUUCCUGAAAAACUUAAGGAUUUUACUCAGGAAUGAUCUUGGUUAAAAAAACACAAAACGGAGAACGUUAUUGGUUAGCUUGAAAACAAAAAUUCAGUUUAUGUUUUAAUUCAAGUAAUCAAUCAAACUUAAUAAAUAAGGAGAUAAGAGAACUAAUAUAUGUGAAUAAAAAUAUUCAGCUUUUGAAUACUUUUUAAAAUCUGUUUGACCGGGAUGGUUUAUUCGUUCAUGAUCAGUCUUAUCUUGUGUUUAAUGAUCCUUUAUGUUUCACAUAAAUUUGUUGAUGUUAAAUCUUUGAUCUGGAAACUCGAUUCUGUUCAAAUCAAUUUGGAGAAUGAUGAUGAACUUCUACAGAUAUAAGGAGAUUGAUACCGAGCUUCUGCAGAAUUAUGGAGAUUGAUAAUCGAUCUAGAUUUUCAGUCUUGUACUUUCAGGAGAUUGAUGAUCAAUCUUGAGGUUCAGUGUUUGAUCAUGCUGGACGACUUCCCGAUCAAUCUGGAUGACUUUGUACAUACCAAAAUUGAUUAACUUUCUUGACAAUUAAGUUGGAGAAGUUUCAUACUUGUUUUAUCUUUUUUGAUUCAUGAGUUUUUAUCUUAGUGAUUCGAAUGCCUUCUUUGACUAGAAUGAAUCAUACUUGUUCCUUGCCAAGUACUAAUAACUUAAAAAAGUAUAGAAGCUACAAUGAAAAAGGUAAAUAUGCAACAUACUUUUUUAAGAUAAGUAUAUUAAUAUAGUGUGAAAUGUAAGAUAUAAUAAAUUUGAGUUUUAGGUGAUCCAUUUUGAAUGAUGCAAAAUCGAUACUCGAACCAAUAGAUAUUAAACUUGAUUGAUUUAGUUUAGAUUCAAACAAGGAAAAACACCAAACAAAUUUAAUUGGUUUGGUUUGGACUUUUGGAUCAUUGGUUUUGUUCUUACACCUCUACAUGAGUAAGCAUAGUAACGGUCAUAUGACAUUUUCUUAACGAAACUAACAAAAAAUAAUAUUUAUGUAAAAUGGAUCAUAACUUAAAGAUUAACUAUGCUAAUGAGAUAUAAAUUAAAUGACUAAUUCGAAAAUGAGAUAUAAAUUAAAUGAAUAAUUCGAAGAAACAAACUUAAAAAGACCUAAAUGAGAUAGAUUAAACUUAAAAUACUAAAAGUAUAUUUUAGUCUAUAAAAAACUAUUUUUUAUUGAUUAUAUAUGAGUAUUAUGUUGUUGCAAAAAUCUAGAAUUAUGUUUAUGAUUACAGAAAUAAUCAAACAACUUUAUAAUUCUAACUCUUAUUAAUCCUGUAGGAAAUCAAACAACUUUAUAAUCUAGAAUUAUGAAUCAAACAACUUUAUAAAUCAAACAACUUUAUAAUCUAGAAUUAUGUUUCUCUAUAAGUCUAACUCUUAUUAAUCAUGUAGGGUAAUCGAUGUUAGGAUUUAAACGUUCUUUUAGGAAAGUAAGACAAAUAGAGCAUCAUUUUAGAAGUUAAUUGAACUUUUUAAUGUGUUCAAAUUUUUUCGUUCAUCCAAUUUAAAGUAGUACGUUGUUAUUGACUAAUUCUAUGAACUCUCCCUCCUCUAUAAAUUAUAGUGAGUAAUUGUGGUAUUUCUUUAAUGAUUGAAACUUUAGAUGUGAUAUUUGUUUAAAUGAUUCAUUGCCAUGUAUCAAGUGAAUUCUUUGAUGGUAUUUAAUUAUGUAUUAGUUUGUCUAUUAUUCACCAUAAAUUUCGAGGACGAAAUUUCUUUAACGAGGGGAGAAUUGUAACACCCCAAAUUUAAUAAUAAAUUAUUUAAUUUAUCUAAUGGGAUUUUAAAGAAUUAAUUUAGUAUUGCAUGUGUUUACAAUAUGUGUUGACAAAUAAUUAUGAUUGAUUUUCUUACAUGUGUAUUUGCUAUAGUGUGAUAAUUUNNNNNNNNNNNNNNNNNNNNNNNNNNNNNNNNNNNNNNNNNNNNNNNNNNNNNNNNNNNNNNNNNNNNNNNNNNNNNNNNNNNNNNNNNNNNNNNNNNNNNNNNNNNNNNNNNNNNNNNNNNNNNNNNNNNNNNNNNNNNNNNNNNNNNNNNNNNNNNNNNNNNNNNNNNNNNNNNNNNNNNNNNNNNNNNNNNNNNNNNNNNNNNNNNNNNNNNNNNNNNNNNNNNNNNNNNNNNNNNNNNNNAUUUUAAUAAAAGUAAAGUUAAUAAAAAGGUUUUGAAUAAUAAUAAUAAUAAUAAUAAUAGUAAUAAUAGUAUUUAUUAUUAAUAAUAAUAAUAAUAAUAAUAAUAAUAAUAAUAAUAAUAAUAAUAAUAAUAAUAAUAAUAAUAAUAAUAAUAAUAAAGGAAGAAAAAUAAUAACAACAAGACCAGAACCUCUUCCUUCUUCUUCUUCGUAUACACCGCCGCCAACAACCAUUUCCUCUUCCUUCUUCUCGCCUCGACCGCGAUCGUUACAAUGGUUGUCUAAGAAAAUUGAGACCACAUUCGUGAUCAUUGUGAUCUCCUCUUUCAUUCUCAACCUAAAUCAUAAAUUGAAAUGUCUUAUUUCUCUUUGUCAAAAAUCACACAUCCACCUUUUGAUCAAGAUUCCGGCCACCACGACCAUCACCAAUGAAAACUGAGACCAUAUUUGGACUCCACAAAACACCCUCUUCCAUUACCUAUGCUUCAAAUCGCCAAUCGUUAUACUUAAAAAAAUGGGUUUUCACCCUCGCCGCGGCUGUGUUGCCAAACUCCGGCCAACACGUUCAUCGUCUUGAAAAACUGACAUCAUUUUUGGAUUCCUCUCGUCGAAACCUUCAAGAAGCACUACUCAUUUGCGUGUUUCGGUGAAGUUGAUGCCGGACCCUGUCGGCGCCCCACUACGCCGGUGAGACCUUUUCUAAUAACAUGUUUCGCAGCGUUUUGAAUAUGUUUCUUCGCCUAAUAUUUUUAUUAAUUAUAUAAUGCUGAUUUUUAUGCCUCGGGAAAAUUAUCAGCCAUGUUUCAUUGACUCUGCAAAUUCAUUGAUGCUUUUGGACUCGUUUGGACGUGUUGUCGACAUCUCAUGGUUGCUGAAAAUCAUUAUGGUCCUUAUAUCUUAUGAAAGCGUCAAAUUGAGGUAUGGGGUGAGAAUGAGUUCGAAUGCAUGAGUAUAAAUUAAGUGAGAUGAACGGGAAUACCGUAUUUCCCACAAUUCAUUCGGGGCUCGCUACGUAUGGCAGAAGCCCUUUGAGUAAUAAUUGACUAAUGAGCAAACUUGAAUUUUGUGAGGUUAAAAUGUGAAUUAGAAAUUUUUACAGGAUGUUGUUUGAUUUAAUUUUUGAAGAUCGUGUGAUAGUUGAAUUAUUAUAGAAUUGUGUAUUUGAUGCAUUUUGUGUCUUGUUUAUAUCUAUCCUUGAUAUUGAUAUAUGAUAUAAAAUGUGAUGAAUUGUAACUAUUUGCCUUGCAAUUGAUGUGAUGUGUGUGAAUGAUCUAGUAUUAUUAUUAUUAUUAUUAUUAUAUGUGUGUGAACGAUCUAGUAUUAUUAUAUGUGAGUGAAGACCCUUUAUUAUUUGAGAGGACGUAUUAUGAUGAUAAAAUCUGAAUGUAAUGUAUGACUAUGGAAAUCUGCAAUGACGAUGUGUACUCCUUGACUUGUGAUAUUACCACCUUGAUGAAUAUCAUGAAAUGCGUAUUGUGUUUAAUUGAAUGCCAAUGAUGGUUCUCUUAAUAGAGUAAGUAGCCUAGGACAACGAGGGGAGAAAGUAGCUGUUGAUAAUUUUUGAAGUAGAGAUUAUUUGGUCAUCAUAUAGGUAGGGCCUGACAAGCCUAGUGAUUAUGGGGAAGUACAACUAUAUGAGCCUGAUCGUGGCAGUCUGCUGUUGAGCCUUAGGGCAAGAUUGUUAGACCUUGGAGGUAUCCGGGUGGGGAAUUCCUAGGUGACUUGGAGGUAGCACUCCAAAUGUCGGGAGCUACCACGCAACACACGUUUACCUCGACUGUCACGUAGGGAUCUAUGAGGACAUGGCCAAUUUGAAUUGUCCGUCCACUUGCGUGGUGGCAUAGUAUCGAGCCUCCUAACCAAGUACUUCAGAGUUAGAAUGGUACCAAAGAAAGAGGAGGAGUCUAGAGUAUAAGAGCAUGCAUAACAUUACUUGAUUUGUGUAUUUACUUACUUGAUGUUGUGGAUUGUAUCAAUGUUUUACCUUGAUUAUUCUUGUUGGUUGUGAUUUGAUAUGAUACGGUGUUUAAUAUUUUUUUUCGUGUUCUUCUCAGUUAUUUUAUACUAUUACAUGUUUUCGAAGCUCACCCCUCGUUGCUUGUGUUUGGCGCUUGCGAGAGCGCAGUUAUUUCAGGUUAUCGAUUGGGGAUCCACGCUCUGAAUAGGUGAUAUUGGGUGGGAGUAAUUUUUCGUAUUUUGUUGAGUUAUGAACAAUUUAGAUUUUUGUAAAUUUGAUUGAUCAAUUGUGUUAUUUUAUCGGUUAUUCAGAGGUAGAAAUUAAUUGUCUCUAAGUUUAGAACUUGCUUUUAUAUCAAAAGUAUUUAUUUAAUGAACAUCAACUAUAUUCGAUAUUAAGAAUUUUUUUUUUAUUGAAAAUUUUUAUGCAAGCAUUUUGUGUGAGUGUGAAUGUGACGUCUUGAACCUUAAAGUAUUUAAAAAAAAAAAUAUAUAUAUAUAUAUAUAUAUAUACUCUAUUUUGGAACCGCUGCGAAUCUCUUUAAAACUAGUACAUUUCACUUUUUAUUUCAAUUUGGGUUCAGGGUGUCACAGAUACUCGAACCAAUAGAUAUUAAACUUGAUUGAUUUGAUUUAGAUUCAAACAAGGAAAAACACCAAACAAAUUUAAUUGGUUUGAUUUGGACUUUUGGAUCAUUGGUUUUGUUCUUACACCUCUACAUGAGUAAGCAUAGUAACGGUCACAUGACAUUUUCUUAACGAAACUAACAAAAAAUAAUAUUUAUGUAAAAUGGAUCAUAACUUAAAGAUUAAUUAUACUAAUGAGAUAUAAAUUAAAUGACUAAUUCAGAAAAUGAGAUAUAAAUUAAAUGAAUAAUUCGAAGAAACAAACUUAAAAAGACCUAAAUAAGAUAGAUUAAACUUAAAAUACUAAAAGUAUAUUUUAGUCUAUAAAAAACUAUUUUUUAUUGAUUACAUAUGAGUAUUAUGUUGUUGCAAAAAUCUAGAAUUAUGUUUAUGAUUAAAGAAAUAAUCAAACAACUUAGCCAGGGUAUUGUCAAAUCUUUUUUUUUUAAUAAUGUGAUUAAUAUAGUUAAUAUAAUAUGUAAUUAAUUUAAUAGUUGUAGUUUUUGCAUUGAUUCAUCUUCUUAAUUAGGAAAUAAUAAAUGUAUUUAAUAAUAAUUAUGGAUAAAUGAGGUUGGUUUGUGGUACACUUCUUGUAAAAGAUUUCUAUAUUUAUUCUCUUAAUCAAUACCUUUAGAGUCCUCAUUAUUAUUUUUUCUUAUAUUUAAGUCAUGUUUGUAGUUUAUCUAAUAAAUCUACCUAAAUUGAUUUAAAAAAAAAAUACGUAGAUAAAAUGAUUUUUAUAUGUAGAUAUGAAGAUAUUGUAAUAUUUAAGCCAUGUUUUACUCUUAACAUGAAGAUAUUAAAAUUGGAAUAUUGUAUUUGAUUUAUUUAUAAAGAUUGCAUUUAGUAGUAAUUGAUCGGUCUUUGUCUCUUUAACAUGUGUACAAUUAAGUUUAAACUAUAUAAACGAUUCAAAAUUAAAAGCAAAAACUCUUAGAUAUAAUUAUUGGAUUUAUUAUUGAAUGGUCUAGAAGUUGAUGGUCUAGAUUAUUCUUAUUUUUAAAAUUUUAUUCUCUUUAGAUUAAUGGUUUUGGAAUUUGAUGUUACAAUUUUUUAUAUAAAAUUUACUUUUUAUUGUGUACACUACUAGCCCCAAAGAAUAUUUAAUUCAUAAAAAAAUUGUUUCAUAAUAAAUGACUUUUUUGUAAUAAAAAAUUGUCUUAAUAAUCAAAAAAAAAAAAAAAAAUCCCAAUUAUUAUGUAAAUAUGCGAAAGUAGAAGUGUGCGAUCAAGUUCCAAGUUGAUAUAGGAGGAAGUAAUAUUGCUAAAAUUCUUAAUUCCAGACUAGUUGUUGAAUUUUUUAUUUGAAUUUGGUUUAUUCUUUUCUAAUAGAUUAUUCAUCUGAAAUGUGUAUAUAUUAACCAUGCUAGACCUCUUUGCAUUUAUAUUAACUAUGCGUUACUAAUGUUAGAACAUGUACAUGCAUGCCGUAAUGGUACUCUUUUUUGUUUUAUUUAAUCGUACUCUUUUAGAUUUAACGUGUAAUAUUUUUUGAGUUUUAUGUAAUAAAAUAGUAUGUUACGAUUAAUGAAUAAUUAAAACGUUUUAUUUAUUUAUGUAAUUCAGUAAUUUAUUUUGAUGGAAUUGUGGUGGUACACAUUAGAUUUUAUAAACUUUUUUUUUUUGUGUCAACUUUUAUGUUCACACAACUUUAGUUUUUAUAGAUAUGUUUAAUACUUUUUUUUCUCUAUUUCUUUUUUUAUCAUCAUCAUAAUAUCACAUCUAUCAUACCACCUUCUAUAUUACUAUUUCUCUCAAAAUAUCAAUUAAUUUUUGGAUGUACACUAUUUUUUUCUCACUUAAAACAUAGUUAUCUAAUAAUUAAAUUUAUUGACGUGAGAAUUUUAUAAAAUGGUCACUUGAUAAACGUUAUUAACCAUUAUAUUUCAAAACAAUGGCAUAUGUGCCUUUUUUAUAAUAUUUUUGUUAAGUUCAUUACUGACAUAAUGCAUCUUUUAAUUCCAUAAUAAUAUAAUUGAGGAAUUUAUUUGAAACAUUCACAAAUAAAAUGAAUUUUUGUUAUAAUUUUUCUUUAAACCAUGUGGUUCUUUUGCAUUUUUAUUUAUGGUAUUCUUUCUAGAUUUGUAUUUAAUUGGAUUAAAUCUCGAAAAUUUUAUUUAUUGUGGAUGAAAAUUGAGUUUUACUAUUUUACUUUUUCUAUAAUUUACUAUUCUAUUUUGUUGAUAUUGAUACCUAAAUAAAAAUUUAUUGUAUUUAGAUGAAUUUCCUUAGUAACCAAUUAUAUAUUACUAUUGAUGUUAAUGGUCUUUAUAAGAAACUAUUUUAUUCUCAAAAGCAAUAAAAAUUUAAGCUAUAUAUUUUUGGUAUAAUUAUUUAUACAAUAUACUGUAGUCCAUUUUAAAUAAAAUACAAAUAAAAAUAAUAUAAAAAAUUGAUUUAUGCGGUUAAAAGUUAAAAUAAAUUACAUCCAUUUUUUUGUAUAAUUUUUUUGUUUAUAUUUUAUUUCAGUAGUAUAUAUUUAUAAUUCAUAUGUGUAAACUACAUGUUUUUGAUGACGACAAGACCACCAACUAUGGACAAUGCAACAAGAUCAAAAAGAAGAUCAAACCUUCUUGAAUAAGCUUCAAAAUCCAAAUAAUAAAUGAUUAAAUGUAAAGGUAUAUGAUACAAAUCAAUAGUUCAAAUACAUGAGAACAAUUCAUAUUUACAUAUGCAUUUAACAUAUUUUCGAAAAUCAAAAACAACAUUAACAAAUUAUUUAAAAUCAUAUUUUUGACAAUUUGCAUAAGUGUAUUCGUAUACACCAUGUUGUAUUCGAAUACAACUUAAGUCAGAGGCAAAACGUUAAAUGUUGUAUUCGACUACACCCAUCUGUAGUCGAAUACAAGCUAAGUCAGUGGCCAAGUGUAUUCGACUACACCCAUAUGUAGUCGAAUACAAGUUAAGUCAGAGGCUAAAAUACAUUCAUCUGUAUUCGACUACACUGAUGUGUAUUCGAAUACAAGAUGUAAAAUUUGAAUUUUUUGAACGUUACAAAGACGUGUAUUCGAAUACACAUAUACUGUAUUCGAAUACACCUGGAAACAUUACAAUUUUUCAGAUCUGGGAUGCCUCUAGAACAUUGUAAUUUUUCAUCAAACCUCUUGGAUCAAUGGCCACGAAUCUGAAAGGAUGUUUUAUGGAGUAUAAAUACCCCAUAACUUCAGAUCAAAAAUCAACAAUCCUUGAACAAAUUCAUUAAACAACUUUGAACAAAAUUUCUGAUUUUCUAAGUACUUGCAUUAAAUUUUCAUAUCAUUCUAAAAGUUCUCAAGUACUUGAAUUGUUAUUGAGUUGUUUAUCAAUAUACCACAUCUUAGACUCAUUCAAACCUUAUUGUAUCAUUUGUACAAAGAUAGCUUAAUCUAAGAUAGUGGUGUGCUAUCUUAGAAGUAUUGUUAGAAGUUUUGUAGCAAGAAUCCCAGGGUGGGAGUUGUACCUUUUCUGAUAAAUAUUGGAUUAAUCUCUUGUGGUGUGCAAGAGGACUGGACGUACCCUUGGUUAUAAGGGGAACCAGGAUAAAUCUUAAAGUGUUCAUUUACUUACUGCAAUUUUUAUUAAGCCUUGUUCUUAAACUCAGAAAAUUCAACUACCAUAUCACUAAAAACAAAAAACUUUACCAACACCUAAUUAUAUAAACCCCAUUAUAUAUUCCAAAAAAAAUUCUAGUAAUUCGUGUUUUUAAUGGAGUGUUUUACCCACCCUUCUUAACCUUCUAUAUUUUUUUUAACAAACUAGUAGUUGAUUUUUUUGUAUGGUUUCAAAAAGAGUUUAGGCUUCCAAGUGAAAUUUAUUCUUCUUCCCACAAAAUCAAUUGAACUCUUCAUCUUAAAAAAAAAAUCCAAAAAAUUCCAAUUAAAAAACAAAUUAAAUAUGAAAUUAAACUUUAAUAUAUAUAUAUAUAUAUAUAUAUAUAUAUAUAUAUAUAUAUAAAUCAUAUCUUGGAACAAUAGAUGUAGAGAAAAAUAAUGGAAAAAAAAUUAUAAAACAAAAUAUAUCAUAAAUAACCGAUUCAAAAAAUAAAAAAAACAUAGUGGGUUAAUUCGAGAGAUUGGUCAAAAUUAAAUGAAUAAUUUUAUUUUUCUGGGUUAUUUUCAUGUACUUGAUUUGAGUUUCGAAAUUCGAUUAUUUGUUUUUGCUAGAGUGGUAGUUAAAAAUAAUUUUUUUAUUGAGUAUAUCUUUAAAUUAUUAAUUUAAUCGAGGUAAUAUUAAUUAUCUAUUAUAGAUGUUGUCUUUUGGGAUCAUAUCAUACUUAUUAAAAUUUUGAUCUUGUUAAUGAAAUUAAUGUAGAUCGUUUAAAAUAGUUGAAAAUUUACACCAUAUUUUAUUACGUGUUAUUUUUUAGAAGAAAAAAAAAAGAUUCGUUGUUCACAUAGUUUACAGUGGCCUCGUGUAAAUAUUGGAUCCUGAGUGUCGAAAUAUUUAUUUGAAAUAAUUGAUUUACUGAUUCUAAUUUUGUGCCCUCGUUAGAGUUUAACUUGAUGAUUAGAUUUGAAGAAUUAGUUAGUGAUUUAUAAUUGUGUUAAUAAAAAAAGUAAAAUGAUAAAAUGUCUACUCAUUGGAAAAAAGAAGAAAAAUAAAACAAAAAUUUUUAAAAAAUUAUCUUAAUAGUUAAACUCCUUUUGAAAAAUUAUCUAAAUAUUUUAUAAUCGAUUUAUUUUAUGAGUAGAAUGUUUUUUUUUUUUGUGUGUGUCUAGAAAUGUAGUUGUUGUGUUAUUAUUGUCAAAAUGUACUUUUGAGUUUAAUAUGAGAAGAUGAUGUGUUGUUUAUACAUUUUUUCUUGUUACAUAAAUUAACCUAACAAAAUGGUAUGCAUCAUGUAGAUGUAGAUUGGUAUGUGUAAAGUGUAUCAUGUAGAUUGAUAUGUGUGUAUAGAGAUUAAAAUUUAUUUUAUCCAUUUUUUAAUUAUAAAAUUGCAUUUCUUUUAUUAGGGAUUCAAUUUUUAAGAUUAAAAUGGACCUCUAAAAUCUUUAAAAUUAAUGGUGUGUUUUGUUUUAGACCAAUUUUAUGGCUUGAUAGAAACUCGGAGAUGUAUCUAUAAGCCUAUUGAGUACCUGAUGUGAGAGGAAGUUGUUAUUUUGUAGAUUUGUCAAUUAGUGUAAUUCAUUAUCAUAACCAAAUAUGUCUUAUGAUUUGUGUCAUGUGCACUACUUUAGUGUUUAUAAGUAUAUGAUUUUUUUUUUGUAAGUAUUGAGAAAAGAAAUUGGAACUAUUUUAGAUGUGUUAAUUAAUUGAAAAAUUUCAUAUCUAUUUAUAUAUAUAUAGUUUAAAUUUUCUUUCAAAAUAAAUAAUUAUUUUAUAGUGAUUAUUUAUAAAAAUGUAUUUUCGAUGAUCAAAGUACAAAUGAAAUUUUAAAAAUCUAAUAGAUUUUUAAAAUACACGUAAUUUAUUUUAGUUUUUUUUUUUAUUUAGACGUGAUUUAUUGAAAAAUAGUUUAAGGAAAAAACUUUGAAUUCUCAAUGAUUUUUUUGUUGUGCCAAAUGAUUAGUGAUACAUUUUAUAAUAAUUUAAGUGUAGAAAUCAAUUUUUAGAAUUACGUGUAACCUUUAAAGUGGUUUAUGCACUAUCUCAUUUAAUUUGGUUUGAUAGCGUGUUGAAUUGGUAAAUAAUUAUUUCGCUAUUUGGAAAAAAAUUCCUUUACUUCGUUGUAACUUUUAAAUGAUGAGGAUUAAUUCAAAAGAAAAUUUAAUCGUGAUCAAUUUGGAACAGUUAGUCUUCUACGAGAGUAUGUUACAUAUGUGAGAAUCAUCAUUUGAGUUAUGAGAUUAACAAAUCUUGGUGCUAAUUUUGGAUUAAUUAUGUGAUGGUGUAUACGAUUAUCUAAAUAUUAAAUUGUUUGUGUUUCAAGUGUUCUAUAUAUUGGGAAUUAGUGUAUAGAGUAAGAGUAGUCGAAAACAUCUAAAAGUGAAAUAGUUCUAUAUUUUUUUGAUCAAAUUAUUGAUUAUAUAUUGAUGCAAGUUUCUUUGUUACUACUCGUAUGUUACAAAUAAAUUAUUAUGAAUGUGUGAUUAAGUGAAUUUUUAACUUGAAGUAAGGACUAUUAGCAGUGGCAGAGCUUGACUAAAUAGUUUGGGGUGGCCGACAUAAAAUUACAAUAUCUAUAAAGCAAAUAAUAUUAUAUAGCAAAAAAUUAAGUUAUAAAAAGCAUAAUUAACUUGAAAUCAUCAAUAAUAGAUUGAGAAGUGAGAACUGAUACUUGCAGCUAAAUUUAAAGAGUUGAAUUCUAAAACAUGCAUCUAUUAUUUAUGUUUCUUUAUUCUAAAUCAGCAAAACUAGCAAUUUAGAAAACAAACUUAGUAAACAAAAUCAGCAAACAGGCAACCAUCAUUCUAAAUAUGUCAAAUAUCUUGUUCAAUAAACAUAGCAACAACAAUUCAAAUUAACCAAUUUAGCAACAACCGUUUAGUCAUCAUUCUAAUCAAGCGGCCAACAGUGGCGGAACUUGAGCGAAAAGUUUGGGGUGGCCGACAUAAUUCACUCUCACAAAUUUUCCUCAUGAAAAAAAAAUCAAUUCUUCUACUCUUCUUCAUUCUCACAAACUCAUCUAAAUCAAUCAAUUCAAUAAACAUAAAACAUCUUAUAUUCAACAAAAAAAAAAAAAACUUUAUAUAGACAAAAAAACUCAAACAAAAAUGCAACAAAACUCAAACACCUUGUAUGCAAAAAAAAAAACUCACACACAUAAAAUCAAACACCUUAUGUGCGACAAAAAAAAGCUCAAAUACUUUAUAUUGACAUAAACUCAAACACCUUAUGUGCAACACAAAAACUCUAAACAAAAAUCAGCUAAUUAAAACUCCAAAUCAAAACUCUAAUCUCAACAAUAACAAUAUAAGCUUUAAAUUUUGAACAAAGCAGCAACGAGAUCUAGAGACAGAUGACUGAUGAGGUUGCAGCGAGUAGAGAGGCAGCGACGAAUGGCUACGGACAAAGGCUCAGGCAGACGAACGAUUGGCCACAGCGAGCGAUUUCGUGAGCGAGCAGACGAGCGAUUUCGUAGAGAGACGACCGCACGUUUGUCUUGAUUCAUGAAUCUGAUUAUGGAGGAGGGAGAGAGGAAGGCUGGAACUUGUAAGCAAAAGGGAGAGAAGGAGAGAGGAAGGCUGGAUGGAAGAGAGAGGAAGAAAGAGAAAAUUGAAUUAGGUUUAGGUAUGUUUGUAAUUUUUUAAUUUUAAGAUGGACAUUUUAGUCAUUGUGCCUAUAAUUUUACUUUUUUUGGGGUGGCCGCGGCCCCCCUUAGUCCCAAGGAAGGAAGCUCCGCCCCUGGCGGCCAACAAUUUAACAAAUCAUUCUAAAAUCAUCAACUUAGUAGUUAAACAAUUUAGCCAUCAUUAUAAACAAGCAGCCAACAAUUUAGCAAAUCAUUCUAAAAUCAGCAAUUUAGCCAUCAUUCUAAUCAGACAACCAACAAUUUAGCAAAUCAUUCUAAAAUCAACAAUUUGACAAUUUAACAAUUUAUCCAUAGUUCUAAACAGGCAGCCGACAAUUUAGCAAAUCAUUCUAAAGAGACAACCAACACUUUAGCAAUUUAACACUUUAGCAAAUCAGCAAACACCUUGUAUGCAACAACACUUUAGCAAUUUAACACUUUAGAAAAUCAGCAAACACCUUGUAUGCAACAACACUUUAGCAAUUUAGCAAAAACACAAAAACCUUGUAUGCAACAAAAAUUAGCAAAUCAGCACAAACAUUGUUCAAACUCCUUUUCAAACACCUUGUUAAGAAAAUCAGGAAAAUCAACAAAUCAACAAAUUCCAAACCUUUGGAGUUUUGACGACGAAUGGCCGAGGCAAGGCGAGACGAGUUUGAGGCGAGCUGAAGCGAGACGAGUCCGAGGCGAGGCGGGGCGAGGCCGAGACGAGCUGAAGCGGGGCAAGGCAUCAACAACACAAGAUGGCAAGAGGGUGGAAUCGGGAAAGAGAUAGGUGAAGACUGGAUCUGGCAGUGAGGAAGAGAGAUUUAGGUUUUUAAGGAAGAGAGACUGGAUCUGAAUCUGAAAGAGAGGAAGAGAGACUAAACCUAUAAUUUUGGUUUUUUCUUGAGGUGGCAGCGGCCACCCCAUGUCCCUACCAAGCUCCGCCACAGACUAUUAGUUGCGGUGCCGCUUUCGCACUUCUGGACAACUUUGAAGAUACUUUUAAUUACCCAUGUUUGAAUUUGAAUUACCACAGUUAUGAUUAUCUUAUAUAGUUGACUACAUGACUAAGAGGGACUAGCUACCCCGAUGAUUCAUCGUCAAUAAAAGAGGCAACACUAACUUGUUGUUAUUAUUGUUAGGAAUACUUGUUUCUCUCAAAUUACAGCAAACUUUUUUUCUCUCAAAUUCACUGCCAACAAUUCUUUGUCAUUUGAAUCGAUCUCAACCACUGUCGCACACAAAAUCGGCCACCGAAUCUAUUUUUGGUUUCAAUUUUAUCGAUCAUAACUCAUUUUCAUUAAAACUUAUAACUUAAAAGAUAACAUUUUUGAAACUUUUAACUCAAUUUUAUCAAUCAUGGCUUCAAUUUAAUUUGCCACAUUAUACUUUUUUAAAGGAAUUUAUAAAAAAAUUACGUAAGUGAAUUAUAACUUAAAAGUUAAUGUGGCUAAUGAGAUAAAUUUAAUUACUAAAUCAAAAAUAUAUAAAUAAAACCUAUAGAGACAUAACAGAAAAUUGAGAAAAAUUUAAAAGAGUAUUUUUUUUUAUCAUGACAAUAACUAUUUUUUAUUGACAACGUAUGAUAAUUAUGUUUACCAAAAGUCUAGAAUUAUGUUUAUUAUUAAAGAAAUUAUCAAGCAACCUCGUAGUUGUCAAAGUUUAAACACUUUACCUACCUCAAUAACCCUUCAAUGGCUCAAUAUUCUCGAAAGCAAUUAAAUAAUAUAUUAUUUAAUAAAUCUACUUUUGAUUUUCAUACCUAUUUAUCUUGCCGAAUAUAUUCAUAUGUUUCACAACAAUUAAAUUCUUAGAAAUUGUAGCAAUGAUGAAAAUCAAAGCUUUUAAUCUGUGUUUCCUUUGUGCACUGUUUCUUUUAUCUGUUGUGGCAACAGAGACAUUAAAAGUAGGUAAACAAUAUACAAAAGAGUCAAAGAAAAAUGUUUUGGUAGAUAAGCUUGAUGGUGGACGAAAACCCAUAGAUAUAGAAUCUUUUGAUCAAAAUAAGCCCGUUGGUGCGGGAAAUAAAACAAGGGAAGAAAGGAUGAUGGAAAAGGAAGCAAAGCAGAAGGAAAGAGCUUUGGCAAAGGAAGCAAAGUUGAAUGAAAGACCUUUAGCAAAGGAAAAUAAAAUGAAAGAAAAAAAUAAAGAAAAAGGGUAUGGGCCAGGGAGAAGGUCAAUGCAUUAUUAGUUGUAAAAAUAAAAUAUAAAUAAAGCAUACACUAUAAUCAUUGCAUGAUUGGGUGAAUGAAUGAUAAUAACAAUUGAUGUUGUAUACCUUUAAAAAAAAUUGAUGUUUUACAUACCAUGUAUAACUGUUUAUGUAAACAUAUGUACGUGAUCAUUUUUAUUUUUUAUUUUUAUAACAGAUUCGCUUCUUUAAUCUCAUUUAGUUCCUUUAUUUAUAAUUU
rnacentral:lncRNA from 1 species